UACGGAGGGUGCAAGCGUUAUCCGGAUUCACUGGGUUUAAAGGGAGCGUAGGUGGGCAGGUAAGUCAGUGGUGAAAUCUCCGGGCUUAACCCGGAAACUGCCAUUGAUACUAUUUGUCUUGAAUAUUUUGGAGGUAAGCGGAAUAUGUCAUGUAGCGGUGAAAUGCUUAGAUAUGACAUAGAACACCAAUUGCGAAGGCAGCUUACUACGGAACUAUUGACACUGAGGCUCGAAAGCGUGGGGAUCAAACAGG
rnacentral:rRNA from 1 species